UACGUAUGGGGCAAGCGUUAUCCGGAUUUACUGGGUGUAAAGGGAGCGCAGGCGGCCUGGCAAGCCUGAUGUGAAAUACCGGGGCCCAACCCCGGGGCUGCAUUGGGAACUGCCAGGCUGGAGUGCCGGAGAGGCAGGCGGAAUUCCUAGUGUAGCGGUGAAAUGCGUAGAUAUUAGGAGGAACACCAGUGGCGAAGGCGGCCUGCUGGACGGUGACUGACGCUGAGGCUCGAAAGCGUGGGUAUCAAACAGG
rnacentral:rRNA from 1 species